AGGACUUUCUUUAGCGGAUAGUAAACUCCCAAACCCCUGUGAACAUACCUAUACGCUCUGCCUCGGCGGAUCACGCCCGCGCCCUGUAAAAAGGGACGGCCCGCCCGAGGACCCCUAAACUCUGUUUUUAGUGGAACUUCUGAGUAAAACAAACAAAUAAAUCAAAACUUUCAACAACGGAUCUCUUGGUUCUGGCAUCGAUGAAGAACGCAGCAAAAUGCGAUAAGUAAUGUGAAUUGCAGAAUUCAGUGAAUCAUCGAAUCUUUGAACGCACAUUGCGCCCGCCAGUAUUCUGGCGGGCAUGCCUGUUCGAGCGUCAUUUCAACCCUCAAGCUCAGCUUGGUGUUGGGACUCGCGGUAACCCGCGUUCCCCAAAUCGAUUGGCGGUCACGUCGAGCUUCCAUAGCGUAGUAAUCAUACACCUCGUUACUGGUAAUCGUCGCGGCCACGCCGUAAAACCCCAACUUCUGAAUGUUGACCUCGGAUCAGGUAGGAAUACCCGCUGAACUUAAGCAUAUCAAUAAGCGGAGGA
rnacentral:rRNA from 1 species